rnacentral:rRNA from 1 species
CUACGGGUUGCUCCAGUGGGGAAUAUUGGACAAUGGGCGAAAGCCUGAUCCAGCAAUGCCGCGUGUGUGAAGAAGGCCUGCGGGUUGUAAAGCACUUUCAAUUGGGAAGAAAAGCUUGAGGCUAAUACCCUCGAGUCUUGACGUUACCCUUAGAAGAAGCACCGGCUAACUCCGUGCCAGCAGCCGCGGUAAUACGGAGGGUGCGAGCGUUGAUCGGAAUUACUGGGCGUAAAGCGCACGUAGGCGGUUUGGUAAGUCGGAUGUGAAAGCCCCGGGCUCAACCUGGGAAUUGCAUCUGAUACUGCCUGGCUAGAGUAUGGUAGAGGGAAGUGGAAUUCCGGGUGUAGCGGUGAAAUGCGUAGAUAUCCGGAGGAACAUCAGUGGCGAAGGCGACUUCCUGGACCAAUACUGACGCUGAGGUGCGAAAGCGUGGGGAGCAAACAGGAUUAGAUACCCGAGUAGUC